CCCGCGGGGCACUGCGGCUGCGCGGACACGCGCACCGACGCCGCGCUCGACCCGCGACUAGAGACGGGGAGCGGACGGGACAAAAUUCUCGCCGCCGCCCGCCGACCUAUCUCGCGCGAAGGGUCAGGAUGAUUCUGCCCUUCCGACAACACUGCAGCCCUGCAACCCAAUGCAGCUGAUUCCUGUAGUCUUCAGUUUCCUCAUCCCUCCCACCCAGAGGCAAAAGUCCUGUUUGUUACUCCAAGCUGCUGCCUCUGCCCAGCUCUAAUAAUGAGUCCACUAUAACUGCAAUCCGAUUUUCCUCUGAAAUAUAAGUGACACUUAUAUACAACUUUUUCCCCCUGAAAAUGCUCACUGGGGG